UACGAGGGGGGCGAGCGUUGUUCGGAAUUAUUGGGCGUAAAGGGUGCGUAGGCGGUUUGGUAAGUCUUGUGUGAAAUCUUCGGGCUCAACUCGAAGUCUGCACGAGAAACUGCCGGGCUUGAGUAUGGGAGAGGUGAGUGGAAUUCCCGGUGUAGCGGUGAAAUGCGUAGAUAUCUGGAGGAACACCGGUGGCGAAGGCGGCAUCCUGGACCACGACUGACGCUGAGUGAGCGAAAGCCAGGGGAGCAAACGGG
rnacentral:rRNA from 1 species